UACGUAGGGUGCAAGCGUUGUCCGGAAUUAUUGGGCGUAAAGAGCUCGUAGGCGGCUUGUCGCGUCGACUGUGAAAACCCACGGCUCAACUGUGGGCUUGCAGUCGAUACGGGCAGGCUAGAGUUCGGUAGGGGAGUCUGGAAUUCCUGGUGUAGCGGUGAAAUGCGCAGAUAUCAGGAGGAACACCGGUGGCGAAGGCGGGACUCUGGGCCGAUACUGACGCUGAGGAGCGAAAGCGUGGGGAGCGAACAGG
rnacentral:rRNA from 1 species